GAUGAACGCUAGCUACAGGCUUAACACAUGCAAGUCGAGGGGAAACGACAUCGAAAGCUUGCUUUUGAUGGGCGUCGACCGGCGCACGGGUGAGUAACGCGUAUCCAACCUGCCCAUCACUUGGGAAUAACCUUGCGAAAGUAAGACUAAUACCCAAUGACAUCCCACGAAGACAUCUGAAUGGGAUUAAAGAUUUAUCGGUGAUGGAUGGGGAUGCGUCUGAUUAGCUUGUUGGCGGGGUAGCGGCCCACCAAGGCAACGAUCAGUAGGGGUUCUGAGAGGAAGGUCCCCCACAUUGGAACUGAGACACGGUCCAAACUCCUACGGGAGGCAGCAGUGAGGAAUAUUGGUCAAUGGGCGAGAGCCUGAACCAGCCAAGUAGCGUGCAGGAUGACGGCCCUAUGGGUUGUAAACUGCUUUUAUAAGGGAAUAAAGUGGGUCUCGUGAGACUUUUUGCAUGUACCUUAUGAAUAAGAACCGGCUAAUUCCGUG
rnacentral:rRNA from 1 species